CCUCCCCCGCCACGUGACCCGGCCCCGGGAGCCCCCCGCACGGCCCCGGGGCGCUUUCCGGGGCUCGGAAGGGUAACUGCAUGUCGCGCGUGCCCGGGACGCCAUCGCGGGCCUCACCCCUCGGGCUCUGCAGGAGAGAAGGGAAAGGCUGCCCCGAGGCCGGCCCAGAGGUGCGGAGGAUGAUGGACGGGCGGAGUCGAGGGGACUGGCAGCGUUUGAAUGGACGCGGUGCGGCUCGCACGCUCGGUGGACUCCAACCCGGCCGGGUUCGGAGACCCGAGGAAGUUGCUGGAACGCUCCGGGCCUGUUUCCUCGCGCUAAACCCGCGACUGUGGAGGCGCUAGGAAGUUUAAGGUGCAGUUUUACGCAAGUGUCUCGUCACAGAGCCUGACUUGUGGCAUUUGAUGAACGCUGAGUUUAAAAGGACGAGUCGGUCGGGAGAGACUGGCCCUGGGGCGGAGGGUGUGCACGUCGGAAGCGCCGAGGGGAGCACGCUCGCAGGCCUGGUUUCUAUGGACACUGAAUUUGGGGGACGGGAUGGAAGUAUAGCAAGUGGAGUUGGGACCGAUGCAUGCUAGGCACUGCACCAGAAUUAACUUGCAUGACCCUCACAACCUUAUGAGUAGUCAUUUGAUCAGCUCAGACAAGACCACACCAUGAAACAGCCAAAUCUGUUUUAACUGCGACACAAUAGCACAUAAUUCAGGCUGUGAGAGCUACCAAGACCACUGACAACCAGUGGAAUGAAGGAUGGAUACCGGGAAUUACUCUGGGAACUCCCAGUCCCCGCAGCCAUAAAGCUAAAUAAAGGCCUUCUACAGAGAACCUAGAA